CCAGGGCUUCGGCCCUGGGGACAGCGGCGAACGGGUGAGUAACACGUGGGUAAUCCACCCUCGGCACCGGAAUAGCCCGGGGAAACCCGGAUUAAUGCCGGAUGGCCCGUCGACCCUUCGGGGCUGACGGAAAAGGUAGCUUCGGCCUCCGGCCGGGGACGAGCCCGCGACGGAUUAGCUUGUUGGUGGGGUAACGGCCUACCAAGGCUCCGAUCCGUAGCUGGUCUGAGAGGACGAUCAGCCACACUGGGACUGAGACACGGCCCAGACUCCUACGGGAGGCAGCAGUGGGGAAUCUUGCGCAAUGGGCGAAAGCCUGACGCAGCGACGCCGCGUGGGGGAAGAAGGCCUUCGGGUUGUAAACCUCUUUCAGGAGGGACGAAGCCACUCGGGUUAAUAGCCCAGAGGGUGACGGUACCUCCAGAAGAAGCCCCGGCUAACUACGUGCCAGCAGCCGCGGUAAUACGUAGGGGGCAAGCGUUGUCCGGAUUUAUUGGGCGUAAAGAGCGUGUAGGCGGCCAGGUAGGUCUGCUGUGAAAACUCGAGGCUUAACCUCGAGCUGUCGGCGGAAACCAUCUGGCUAGAGUCCGGAAGAGGAGAAUGGAAUUCCCGGUGUAGCGGUGAAAUGCGCAGAUAUCGGGAAGAACACCCGUGGCGAAGGCGGUUCUCUGGGACGGUACUGACGCUGAGACGCGAAAGCGUGGGGAGCGAACAGGAUUAGAUACCCUGGUAGUCCACGCCGUAAACGAUGAGUGCUAGUGUUGGGGGGGUGUCGACUCCCUCCAUGCCGCACUAACGCAUU
rnacentral:rRNA from 1 species